rnacentral:rRNA from 1 species
AAUCAACGCUGGCGGCGUGCCUCAGACAUGCAAGUCGAACGCGAAAGUUUCCUUCGGGGAACAAGUAGAGUGGCGCACGGGUGAGUAACACGUAGGUAAUCUACCUUUGGAUGGGGAAUAACAACCGGAAACGGUUGCUAAUACCGCAUAAUGCAGCGGCACCUAAUGGUGACAGUUGUUAAAGCGGGGGAUCGAAAGACCUCGCGUCUGAAGAGGAGCCUGCGGCGGAUUAGCAGUUGGUAAGGUAAUGGCUUACCAAGGCUACGAUCCGUAACCGGCCUGAGAGGGCGGUCGGUCACACUGACACUGACAUACGGGUCAGACUCCUACGGGAGGCAGCAGUCGGGAAUUUUGGGCAAUGGGCGGAAGCCUGACCCAGCAACGCCGCGUGAAGGAUGAAGUAUUUCGGUAUA